UUCCUCGUUACUGAGGGUCGUGACCAU
rnacentral:sRNA from 1 species